GACUGGAAGAUCUGAAAGGUGCUGGAGAGAAGCAGCAACAUUUUAAACUACCUUGUGAUUGCAAUCCCUGAGCGGAGCUGCAAACAUUUGCGCUGACAAUACGAGAUGACAAAUAAGGCAAGAUCGUGGUGCAGGGGAACGAGUGGGGUAGUUUGUUCAUUUCCAUGACAAUGCUGGGAACACAGUUGGAAGCUGCAUUUCUUUGCCUGGUGCACUUCUCUUCAGCAAUCAGCCCUACCAGCCCAGAGCCUUAAGUGUGUGCAUUUGUCUCUGAUUGUGUAGGGAAAAUGUUCUAUUACAAAUUCAGGCUGUUCGUGUGUCCAGAACAACUACACCUCUGGGGUCCCCUUUUAACUGUUUCCACUCCGAGCCAGCCAACGUUGAGAGGAAAUUGUCAUCUGCUUACUAAUUGGACACCUUUCCUAUGUGAGAUAGCAGUGUAUCAUCUUCUUCACAGUGAGAACUUGACACAUAUUAGUUUCCAUGCUUAGAAGAGUGUGUAAAAUUAGAAUAGCUUUUGUCCCUGACUUGUAGGCCUGCAAGUUUUAUAUCCGAAAAAGUUUGAUUACACAUCUGACCUUGUUACAAGGGUGUUCGCCACCUUCACCCUUAGGGCACGUUCACACGUACGCAGAUUUGAUACGCAGGAUUUGAUGCACAGGAUUUUCUGCUGCAGAUUUCAAUGUUUUAAUUAUUAUUUUUUAUAUAAAUUUAUAUAUAUAUAAAUAUUUAUUAUUUAUGUUAUUAUUAGUUUUUAUUAGAUUAGUUAUUAUUAGAUACACCCCAUUUAUUUCUAACAGCAGUAGUUACUGUAGUAGACAGUGGCUGUUUUAUACUAUUGAUUCUUAUAAUUUGGCAGACUUGGCACAUGUCUAAGGCGUUCAUUUCUAAGGGGUUGCAUGUCUAAUCUAAACUAAAUGACUGGGCACAACUUCUAAUCUGCAGUUACAAAUCCUGCGCAUCAAAUCUGCGCAGGAUCCUGUAUGUGUCAACGCACCCUUAAUAAAUAUUUUACUGUAUUAUCCUGUAUAAUAAAUUGUUAGCUUGUUACUUGUAAUGAUUUAUACACCCCACUGUCUUAAUAAAUUAUUUACAAUGA